rnacentral:rRNA from 1 species
AUGUCCCAGAUCAGGCUAAAGAGCUCAGGGGCUGACGAGGGGGCGAUGGCAGCGUAUAAGGACUUAGUGGAGAAGCGGCCAGAGGGCUCCAGACGCCAAGAGAAGGAGUCAGGGGUACCCUCGACAUCCAUCGGAAGAAGGGCGAUGUCCUGGAGGAGGGAGUCCCAAGCGGCUACCUCAGGGGGGCCGAAGGGGCGCCGGAAAGCGAGCCGCCCUAAGUCAAUAAGGGCCGUCUCGACAGAGACCCGAAGGUCAACCGCAAUGGCGAAAAGUUCCGGGAAUCGAGCAGCCAGGGGGGAAUCCCCUAACCAACGAUCGAACCAGAACAGGUUGAGGACCCGGAGCCAACCGAGAUGGACGUCCCGAUAG